UACAGAGGUCCCAAGCGUUACUGAGAAUCACUGGGUUUAAAGGGUGCGUAGGUGGUCCGUUAAGUCAGUUGUGAAAUCCCCGGGCUCAACCCGGGAACUGCUUCUGAUACUGGCGGACUUGAGGCCAGUAGGGGUCACUAGAACUGACGGUGGAGCGGUGAAAUGCGUAGAUAUCGUUUGGAACGCCGAUGGUGAAAACAGGUCGCUGGGGCUGUGCUGACGCUGAGACACGAAAGCCAGGGGAGCGAACGGG
rnacentral:rRNA from 1 species